rnacentral:rRNA from 1 species
GAUGAACGCUGGCGGCGUGCCUAAUACAUGCAAGUCGAGCGAACGGACGAGAAGCUUGCUUCUCUGAUGUUAGCGGCGGACGGGUGAGUAACACGUGGAUAACCUACCUAUAAGACUGGGAUAACUUCGGGAAACCGGAGCUAAUACCGGAUGAUAUUUUGAACCGCAUGGUUCAAAAGUGAAAGACGGUCUUGCUGUCACUUAUAGAUGGAUCCGCGCUGCAUUAGCUAGUUGGUAAGGUAACGGCUUACCAAGGCAACGAUGCAUAGCCGACCUGAGAGGGGGGCCGCCCACAGGAGAACGUAGACACGGCCCAGCUCCCUGGGGGAGGAGCCAGAGGGAUGUCUUCCGCAAGGGGCAAAAGCGUGACGGAGCAAGGCCGGGUGAGGAAUGAGGUUCUUGGGAUCGUAAAACUUUUUUAUGGGGGAAAAACAUAUGUGAACGUACUUGUGCACUUCUUGACGGUACUUAAUAAAAAGGCCCCGGCAAACUACGUC